rnacentral:tRNA from 1 species
GCCGCCUUAGCUCAGCUGGUAGAGCAACGCAUUCGUAAUGCGUAGGCCCCCGGUUCAAAUCCGGGAGGCGGCUCCA